GUACGGGGGGGGCAAGCGUUGUUCGGAAUUACUGGGCGUAAAGGGUUUGUAGGUGGCUUGCUAAGUCAGACGUGAAAUCCCUCAGCUUAACUGGGGAACUGCGUCUGAUACUGGCGAGCUUGAGUGCAGGAGAGGAACGCGGAAUUCCAGGUGUAGCGGUGAAAUGCGUAGAUAUCUGGAGGAACACCGGUGGCGAAGGCGGCGUUCUGGACUGCAACUGACACUGAAAAACGAAAGCCAGGGGAGCAAACGGG
rnacentral:rRNA from 1 species